UACGUAGGCUCCAAGCGUUGUUCGGAAUUACUGGGCGUAAAGCGAGUGUAGGCGGUCCGUCAAGUUGGUUGUGAAAUCUCCUGGCUCAACUGGGAGGGUGCGACCAAAACUGACGGACUGGAGUCCGGGAGAGGAGAGUGGAAUUCCUGGUGUAGCGGUGAAAUGCGUAGAUAUCAGGAGGAACACCGGUGGUGAAGACGGCUCUCUGGACCGGUACUGACGCUGAGACUCGAAAGCGUGGGGAGCAAAC
rnacentral:rRNA from 1 species